CAUGUCAAACCAAAAUUUCUUUCUUAUUUUUAUUCAUCCAAAUCAAAAUCUCUUUCUCUCUCUUGUUUCUCUCUCUUCCAUUCUAUCUAUCCAUUUCUGUCCAUCGCCGACAACCGCCAAUUCCCUCCAUUUCAAAGCAAACCCCUUUCUUAUCUCUCUUCUCAGUUGUAGCUCAAACUCUUGCUAAAUUAUUCUCCAUUCUUCACUUUCUCAAGUUUACAUCUGUUUUGCAAAUACUUUUACGGACCACGCAUAUGAGUGAUGUUGCUGGAGCUUCUUAAUCCUUAUUGCUGAAUAACUAUGACAACUGGAUGAUGCAUUAUCUGACUGUCUGGAUUUGAAGUUUACAUUUGUGAUUCAGCUAAUAUUGUUUGCAUCACAGAAACUUUCACCAAUAGAUUUUACUUUUCAAAUUGGUUUAAUAUGUCAGAAAUUGACAUGACGGUUAUUAAACCAGAGAAAAAAUUUCAGAUGAUGAAGCCUUAUAUCUGGCUUGAGACAUCAGAUGGUUCAAUCCAGCAAGUGGAACAAGAAAUUGCAAUGUAUUGCCCUUUGAUUUGUAAAGAAAUAAUACAAAAAGGGAUGGGAUCUUCCAAGAAUUGUGCAAUAUGUCUUCCUCAACGAGUCAGUCCUGCAACAUUGAGCUUAAUACUUGAUUAUUGUCGUUUUCAUCAAGUACCAGGUCGCUCAAACAAGGAAAGGAAGUCUUAUGAUGAAAAGUUUGUUAGGAUGGACACAAAGCGGCUGUGUGAGUUGACAUCUGCUGCAGACAGCCUUCAGUUGAAGCCAUUGGUUGAUCUUACAAGUCGUGCACUUGCCCGGAUAAUUGAAGGAAAAUCUCCAGAGGAGAUACGUGAAAUAUUUCAUCUGCCUGAUGAUCUAACUGAGGAAGAGAAGUUGGAGCCCUUGAAGAACACAACUGAUGACCCAAGGAUCAGGCUUUUGAACAGAUUGUAUGCGAAGAAGAGGAAAGAACUAAAAGAGCGUGAGAGGUUGAAGAGUGUUGAAGUUGAAGAAGAGCAUAUAGAUAAACGUUCCGUUGAUGAUCUCUUGUCUUUUAUUAAUGGAAAUGAUGAAGAUCCAAAGGGCAUUAAAACUUCUAAGAAUAAAAAGAAAAAUAGAAGGAAAAAAGAGCAACAUCAGAAGAACUCUUGUCUGAAGGAAGCUUCUGGAGUGAAUAAGAAGGAAGUAAAUGGUCAAAACAUCAGACAUACAAAUUCUGAAGCUGAUAUAAUUGCCGAGACUUCAAUUUCACAUACAGAAGAUGUUUUCGCUCAUAAGGAGUUUGAUGAUGGAGAUAUAGAUGAUGGGAUUGAUCCUGCACUUAAGGAAAAAAUUGACAGGGAAGUGGAAGAUUUCGCCCGACGAUUGAAUUCUGACUGGCCAGAGAGGAUGCAAGAACUUUUAUCAUCUGGACAAGAAAGGAAGACGAUGCUUUUUAGUCCCAAUGGAAAUAGUUUUCUACGGCGAAAUGCUUAACCAUGGUGCCCUAUCAUUGCCAAAGAAACUUCUAACCUUACAACAGAACUUGGCCAGAUUAACUUGGAUUGCGACUUGGAUGCGUUGGAAAUGAGUGCGUAAAAGAUUGCAAGCCCACCCAGAUGACUAAUGGCUUUAACAAUUUUGAGAGAUACUGACACAUGCUAGAAAAUUGUUGCAUGUCAGUUAUUUUUAUUUUACUGUUUAAAUUGAUUCUUUGUUGUUCAUUAUUGGUGUUCAGCUCUGGUGCUAUUAGCUGCUGGGGGCGUUCUCUUGUAAACUUAUAGGAAAGAAAUAAAAAAAGGUUGAGGUUGUGUGGAUUAUA